rnacentral:rRNA from 1 species
UACGUAGGGGGGCAAGCGUUGUCCGGAUUUAUUGGGCGUAAAGAGCGUGUAGGCGGUUCGGUAGGUCCGUUGUGAAAACUCGAGGCUCAACCUCGAGACGCCGAUGGAAACCAUCGAACUAGAGUCCGGAAGAGGAGAGUGGAAUUCCGUGGAUGUGAGCGGUGAAAUGACGCAGAUAUCAGGAAGAACACCCGUGGCUAAGGCGGCUCUCUAGUACGGUACUGACGCUGAGACGCGAAAGCGUGGGGGAGCGAACAGG